CACUCCUGCGGGAGGCAGCAGUGGGGAAUAUUGGACAAUGGGCGCAAGCCUGAUCCAGCCAUGCCGCGUGAGUGAUGAAGGCCCUAGGGUUGUAAAGCUCUUUCACCGGUGAAGAUAAUGACGGUAACCGGAGAAGAAGCCCCGGCUAACUUCGUGCCAGCAGCCGCGGUAAUACGAAGGGGGCUAGCGUUGUUCGGAUUUACUGGGCGUAAAGCGCACGUAGGCGGACUAUUAAGUCAGGGGUGAAAUCCCGGGGCUCAACCCCGGAACUGCCUUUGAUACUGGUAGUCUUGAGUUCGAGAGAGGUGAGUGGAAUUCCGAGUGUAGAGGUGAAAUUCGUAGAUAUUCGGAGGAACACCAGUGGCGAAGGCGGCUCACUGGCUCGAUACUGACGCUGAGGUGCGAAAGCGUGGGGAGCAAACAGGAUUAGAAACCCCGUGUAGUCC
rnacentral:rRNA from 1 species